AACGAACGCUGGCGGCGUGCCUAACACAUGCAAGUCGAGCGGGAAAGUUCCCUUCGGGGAGCGAGUACAGCGGCGAACGGGUGAGUAACACGUAGGUAACCUACCCUGGAGUCUGGGAUAACCUGCCGAAAGGCGGGCUAAUACCAGAUAAGACCACGGGGGCUGCGGCCCCAGAGGUAAAAGAUGGCCUCUGCUUGCAAGCUAUCACUCCGGGAUGGGCCUGCGCGCCAUUAGCUAGUUGGUGGGGUAACGGCUCACCAAGGCUGAGAU
rnacentral:rRNA from 1 species